GCGGGGGCGGUAACGGGCGGGACGCGGCCGGCGCCUUCCCGGGGCGCGUCAUUCCGCCGUGCCGGCGGGUCCCGCGUGUCCCAGGGCGCCGUGACUGCGAGCCUCAAACGGCAGCUGCUUUCCUUUCCUGCACCUCCUCCUUUGUUUCAGCCGAAAGGGAGAUAGAUAGUGAGAAAACAUUGUAGCUCGAUGUCUGUCCCUCCUUCUUCCCAGCUAAUCCCUCAUCUGGAGGAUAGAGGAGGCGUGUCCUGCCAUGUCACUUAGCACUUCACCUGACUGCCAGAGGUUUCCAAGUAUGGCUUGGCAACAACAUCAGUUCCCUCAGGACCCUGGGAUGCAUCUCAUCAGGCCGUAAUAGACUUGUGGCUAUUCAGUUUAAUCAGGUGGUCUUGAACCUGUUCUUCACUUUACAGUGCGAGAGACUUCAUCCCCAUUUUGCACCAUGCUGCUUGUUAAUGAAUGUAGUCUUUGUCCUUUUAAUCUCUCCUUAAAGCUAUCUUAAAAAAAAACAAACUUAUUUUGAAUUUCUGUUUUGUGGCCCAAACUGCAUGUUGUAAUGCAAUAAAAA
rnacentral:lncRNA from 1 species